CUGAUGCAGCCAUGCCGCGUGAGUGAUGAAGGCCUUMGGGUUGUAAAGCUCUUUCAGCAGGGAAGAUAAUGACGKGACUNGUAGARGAAGCCCCGGACUAACUCUCGUGACCAGCAGCCGCGGUAAU
rnacentral:rRNA from 1 species